rnacentral:rRNA from 1 species
AUUGAACGCUGGCGGCGUGCCUAACACAUGCAAGUCGAGCGGUAACAGGUGUAGCAAUACAUGCUGACGAGCGGCGGACGGGUGAGUAACGCUUGGGAAUCUGCCUGUUAGUGGGGGACA